rnacentral:lncRNA from 1 species
AAAUAAAUCAGGGACUUGGUGCCCAAACAUUUGUCUGACAAGCUAGGUGUGUAACAUAUCUGAAACACACAAGCCUUUCUCCUAUCAGGGAGGGUGACACAUGUUAGAAAGGACCGGGCUUCACGAACUAGCCAUGAUAUGUCCACUGCCAGCCCGCUAAGAAAGACUGAACUGGGGAUCCUCUCUGGGAGCUCCUCAGGAGAGCGGCAGUGGGUUUGUCGGAGCUGGAGCUCAGCACAGAGGCCGCGUCCCCACCAGGUGCAGGUGAGCCACAUAAGGCUCGAGGGAGCACGUGGAGCCAGUGUGAGUUGCUUGACUCCUUCCUGCAUUUUCUCAAGCCAGUCCAGGACAGGUGAGCUCUUACUUUCCGCUCUCAGUUUCCCACCCCACACCUGCCCUCUCUGGUAUGGAGUUGAACCAGAGACCACCAUCAAGCUCACGGUUUCCCUUGCAAAGUAUUGGCCUCCACACGCUGGAAGCUUCUGGAAACACGACAUGCAGACCCCCAUCUUGCUACCUAGGGUAGCAGCCCUCUAGUUCACAGGAUAGUUGAAGGACUUUGAGUCCUGUGGUUCCCAGUGGCCAUUGAAAAGGAAGCCAUUUUCCUGAAGUCAAAAUAAUCAUGUUUUAAGAUGAAAGCAACUAUGUUAAAAAAGUUAAUAAAAAAAAAAGAUAAAUGUAACUUGUUCACGGCAGGUUUAUCACCGCAGGUUUAGUGAAGAAAAACUACUAUCAGGGGCUUUAUGUUCCAUGAAUGUCUUCAAAAUAAAAAUUUAGAAAAAGAAAAAGGGUGAGAUUGUGGCAGAGUCACGAAAAGAGCAAGCUGCCCUCGCAAGAGUCCGGGCUGACAAGGCAGGAAAGGGCGCACCCUCACCCCAAACUCACCCCUGGGGAAAUAAUU